rnacentral:rRNA from 1 species
AUUGAACGCUGGCGGCAGGCCUAACACAUGCAAGUCGAACGAGUGGCGGACGGGUGAGUAAUGUCUGGGAAACUGCCUGAUGGAGGGGGAUAACUACUGGAAACGGUAGCUAAUACCGCAUACCAUCGGAUGUGCCCAGAUGGGAUUAGCUAGUCGGUGGUGUAAAGGCUCACCUAGGCGACGAUCCCUAGCUGGUCUGAGAGGAUGACCAGACACACUGGAACGGAGACAGGGCCCAGACUCUUACGGGAGGCAGCAGUGGGGAAUAUGGGACAAUGGGCGCAAGCCUGAUGCAGCCAUGCCGCGUGUAUGAAGAAGGCCUUCGGUUUGUAAAGUACGUUCAGCGGGGAGGCGUUACCCGAAGAAGAAGCACCGGCUAACUCCGUGCCAGCAGCCGCGGUAAUUC